GAAACCGGUGUGCACUGUUUGUUUGGUGAGUAACUCCUCCUUUGUUGCCUAUAUAUUUGUGUUGUAUAUGUUUGUAUAUUGAUCUUGAGGAAGACCUGAAGAGGUCGAAACGUCGAUCAGAUGUAUGUUACCUGUUAUUAAAUAAUAUCGAGUUUUUUUCAACAAAGACCUGAGAGUGCAUCUCUUUCCUUUUUGAUAUGUAUUAAGGCAAUUUGCCUGCAUUUGUGGGAGGUGCUGGUUUGCUACCCCUAGCCUACUUAAGGCACUCCCCUUGCCUGGCUCCUUACCGUUCGAGGUCAGCGUUGAAUGAGGAUCCACUUCCGGGUUCUCUCAGACGCCAUCUUGGUUUCAGUAUCCAGGAGGUUUCACCACGUUAAGC